GGCCUCGGUCUUCAAACCUCUCCCCACUCCGCAUUGCUGGAAAGUUGGAUCCUUACAGCUGAAAAGUUUCCCGCAUUCUGAUGAGUGCCUCUCUCUCUGCAGUUCUGCUGACCAAGACUGCUCAGUACUGCUGGAAAAACAACAGACAGAUGCUGGAUGGUGCCGUUUCAAUCAAAGGUCUCUGGUCUCCAUGGAGCAGCUGUAUCUAGAUCAUUCAUCUGCCUGGCACUCAACACCAAGAGGGAUGGGAUUCAGUCUUCCAGUUUUGGGUCAAAAAUUCUCCCAUAGCAUCAUGUCUCCUCAUUCACUGAACGCCAAAGGUCCCUGACCCGGAGGAGAGCAACUUGGCAAGUUCGCGGGCCUCUCACUGCUGUGGCCUCUCCUGCUGCGGAGCACAGGCUCCGGACGCGCAGGCUCAGCGGCCAUGGCUCACGGGCCCAGCCGCUCCGUGGCAUGUGGGACCUUCCCGGACUGGGGCACGAACCCGCGUCCCCUGCAUCGGCAGGCGGACUCCCAACCACUGCACCACCAGGGAAGCCCCAACACUUAACUUCUGAAAUGCCCUGGGUAGACUCACAAUUCAUGGGUCAGCAUAUUAACCCAUGACUUUAUGAGUUAAAAAGGUCACCAGCAGUGUUCUAGAAAAUGACCACCCUAUGAGACGGGGUCCUGGAAUGAAGAGGCAGUGAUGUGGAACGAAGCCCUUAGCCAGCCCACUAUGAAAGCACCGUAAGCAAGAAGUAAACUUUUGUUGUUUUAACCACUGUGUUUAGGGCUUAUUUGUUACUGUAGCAUAACUUUGCCCAGCUUAACUGACACAGAGUCCUUGAGCAAUCCCUGCUCUUCUUCUCUCCUCUCUUCUCAAUCGCUCUCUUCCUUCCUUCCUUCUCCUGAUCCAACAGGAUCCCUCUGUCUGAAGGAUGGGC